CAGUCGCCGCGGGAACACAGAGGGUGCGAGCGUUAAUCGGAUUUACUGGGCGUAAAGCGUGCGUAGGCGGCUUUUUAAGUCGGAUGUGAAAUCCCUGAGCUUAACUUAGGAAUUGCAUUCGAUACUGGGAAGCUAGAGUAUGGGAGAGGAUGGUAGAAUUCCAGGUGUAGCGGUGAAAUGCGUAGAGAUCUGGAGGAAUACCGAUGGCGAAGGCAGCCAUCUGGCCUAAUACUGACGCUGAGGUACGAAAGCAUGGGGAGCAAACAGGAUUAGAUACCCCAGUAGUCCCUGUCUCUUAUAA
rnacentral:rRNA from 1 species